UGGGGGAUAUUGCACAAUGGGCGAAAGCCUGAUGCAGCAACGCCGCGUGAGGGAAGACGGUUUUCGGAUUGUAAACCUCUGUCUUCGAUGAAGAAACAAAUGACGGUAGCCGAGGAGGAAGCCACGGCUAACUACGUGCCAGCAGCCGCGGUAAUACGUAGGUGGCAAGCGUUGUCCGGAAUUACUGGGUGUAAAGGGAGCGCAGGCGGGGAGACAAGUCAGCUGUGAAAACUAUGGGCUUAACCCAUAAACUGCAGUUGAAACUGUUUUUCUUGAGUGGAGUAGAGGUAGGCGGAAUGCCGAGGGUAGCGGUGAAAUGCGUAGAUAUUCGGAGGAACACCAGUGGCGAAGGCGGCCUACUGGGCUCUAACUGACGCUGAGGCUCGAAAGUGUGGGGAGCAAACA
rnacentral:rRNA from 1 species